AAUUAAAUGAUCAUAUGUUAUUUAUUUUAUAGUAUAUUCAAAAAAAUCAUAUCCCCGUUCAAUUCAUAUUGAAAAUGGGGAGAUCGGUGGCAACGAUCAUUGCCAUUGGCGGGAAAGGGGCGAAGGUGGAGGAAGUGGUGCAGGGUAGGGUUAGGGGUUAGAAAAGUUAAAAGAUAGUGAUAAUUAAUUUUGGAAGAAUGGAGAUCCGGUAAAGAAAUGAAAAACCCUAAAAAGUGGAUGGGGUGUACUGAGAAAGGCGUCUGAGCUAAGAUGUUAUCAAUGUGCAUUUAGAAGCUCCCUCAAAACUUCAAGCCUAAUCAUUAACAAAGACUAUGCAUGUCAAGGGGAACAAAAGGAAAAUGAUAGUAAUGGAUGGAUCACGAACGUCAAGUAUGAAUUUCUAUAUAAACUUUCAGACAUAUGUUGUUUUCUCGUGAUAUUAUUGACGUCGGAUGGAUUUGAUUUUUUAUAUAAGUUAUAUGCUUAAUAGACUUUACAAAAUGAAUGAUUCGCGUUACAAAGGCCGGCCAAUAACUAGCUCAUAAAAAGGGCAUUAUAGGGGUGUAAAAGCAGUAGAAGCGAAAAUCGGUCCGAAUCAAUCCAAACCAAUUGAAUUGAUUGUGUUUUUCGCAAAAGCGGUUUGGUUUCGGCUUAAAACAUGAAAAUCGCCUAAGAUGGUGGUAGUUAGAAGAUAUGUGUUUAUGGUUCCGGUUUUGAACCGAACCGAAACAAAUUGUUAUUUUUAAGUUCAAAUUGAAUUAAAGGUUCUGGGAUUUGUAUGAAUUAUUUUGAUCUUGACAUUUCAAGAACCGUACAAUGGUUGAAUCAUUAAUUUAUCUCAAAAUUGAAGCAAUCUAAAAUGUGAAUGCCCCUAAUAAGCGCCUCAAGAAGCAGCCUAAAUAGGAGUUCAAUUCUCAAAAAACCAUUUGAUUCCCUCAGGCCAACCUCAAAACUUCUAAAUUAAUAUUUAGUUUGUUGAAGUGAUAAUUUACAAAGAUUAUAACAAAAAAAAAAAAAAAUUCUCUUGGUAAAUGAGCAACUUAACUUUAUUUUUUUUAUAAAAUUUGGGUAUCUAAUGAACGCUAGUAAGGAAGCUAAUUUCUUUUUUUUUUUCUUUCUUUUUCUGUAAGUUUAUUUUUCAUACAAAAUUUAUGACAAUUGAACUGAGUCUAGGAGCAUCACUAGCAGUCUCCAUGCUUUCGACUCUCUAUUUUAACCAAAUUCUACUCUGUUUAACUCUCUUUUUUAUACUUCCUCCAAUAGUCUAAAUAAUAAAAUUCUUAAAUAAGACUCCAUCUUUAUUUCUUUGGUCUCUCUUUUAGGCAUCGUUUGGGUAAGUUUUUUUAGAUGCUUUAGUUUUUGAAUUUUUUCGUCUUUAAUAAAUUUUUCUUACCGUUUAAUUAAAAUUUAUACUUUUUUUAUUUUUUUUGACGAGAGAAGUACGAAAAUAUAAAAAAAUUCAUCGAAUUUGAGAAAAAGUUCAUUAAAGCUAAAAAAAAAAAUUAUCCCAAAAAAUAAUCUAAAAAUGAUUUUUUUUGUCUUUAGUUGAAAUUUUUUAUAUUUUUGGACUCUUAUCGUCGAGAGAAACUAAUAAAAUAUAAAAUUUUGAUUAAAUGGAGAAAAGAAUUUAAUAAAAAGGACAAAAAAAAUUCAAAAACGAAAGCAAACUAAAAAAAACCACAGAAAAAAAAACUUAAAGCAUAAACAAAUCCAUCAUCUUCAUAUCUCCUUUUCACUACAAGAAAGCAAGAAAAGGUCAAUGAGUGAACAGUAGCUAAAUCCAGAGAGUUAAUGUAGGAAUGGCAACAGGCGGUUCGGGACAAGUUCGUCUAAAUCCGACCCUGCCUCGAUUAGGAAAAUCCUCCCCCACUCCCGUCCCAAACCCGUGACGGGUUAGAACUUCAAAUCUCAUACCCGCCCCGCCCCCACCCCGUUUAAUUUUUUUAUAUAUAAUUAGAUAUAUUUUUUAUAAACAAUAUUAAAAAAAGUAUCAUUAUAUAUAUAUAUAUAUAUAUAUAUAUAUAUAUAUAAAUAUUAUGGUAUAAUUAAAAAAAGGGUAUUUUUGUCAAUUUAUAGUUAAUCGGGGCGGGGGCGCCUAAACCCAAACCCGACCCAAACCCGAUCCGGGUUUUAUUUUUUCCCUCAUAACCCACCCCGAACUCAAUUAUUCUUACCCCAAACCCGCCCUAUUAGGGGCGGGGCGGAACGGGCCCCGAUUUUCUUUAUGGGGUAAUUGCCAUCCCUAAGUUAUUGGAGUAAGAUUUUAGCAGUUUUACCCUGUAAAUGAAGGUAUUGGAGAAUCUGAUGGUGAUAUGCUUUAAUUACGUGGAAUAAGUAUAGGAUGGAUGGAGAGACUUGUAAACAUAAAAGUUGGUAAGUGUAUUUUUUAGAUUUGCACAAAACGUAUCCAAGAUGAAAAAUGAGGAUAUAUAUCACCAUCAAUAUACGAGUACGAGUACGUAUACGGAAUCACCUAGGGUUUGAGCUCUUUUGAUUUCAC
rnacentral:lncRNA from 1 species